CCUACGGGGGGCAGCAGUGGGGAAUAUUGGACAAUGGGCGAAAGCCUGAUCCAGCAAUGCCGCGUGUGUGAAGAAGGUCUUCGGAUUGUAAAGCACUUUCGACGAGGACGAUGAUGACGGUACCCGUAGAAGAAGCCCCGGCUAACUUCGUGCCCGCAGCCGCGGUAAUACGAAGGGGGCUAGCGUUGCUCGGAAUGACUGGGCGUAAAGGGCGCGUAGGCGGUUUAUGCAGUCAGAUGUGAAAUCCCCGGGCUUAACCUGGGAACUGCAUUUGAGACGCAUAGACUAGAGGUCGAGAGAGGGUUGUGGAAUUCCCAGUGUAGAGGUGAAAUUCGUAGAUAUUGGGAAGAACACCGGUGGCGAAGGCGGCAACCUGGCUCUAUACUGACGCUGAGGCGCGAAAGCGUGGGAGCAAACAGGAUUAGAUACCCCCGUAGUC
rnacentral:rRNA from 1 species